GAUGAACGCUGGCGGCAGGCUUAACACAUGCAAGUCGAGGGGCAGCACGGGUAGCAAUACCUGGUGGCGACCGGCGCAAGGGUGCGUAACGCGUGAGCAACAUGCCCUAUACAGGGGGAUAAUCCAGGGAAACUUGGUCUAAUAUCCCAUAGUAUUUAGAGGAGGCAUCUUCUAUAAAUUAAAGCUUCGGUGGUAUAGGAUUGGCUCGCGUGACAUUAGCUAGAUGGUGAGGUAACGGCUCACCAUGGCAAUGAUGUCUAGGGGUUCUGAGAGGAAGGCCCCCCACACUGGGACUGAGACACGGCCCAGACUCCUACGGGAGGCAGCAGUGAGGAAUAUUGGACAAUGGAUGGAAAUCUGAUCCAGCCAUGCCGCGUGCAGGAAGACAGCCCUAUGGGUUGUAAACUGCUUUUAUAUGGGAGCAAUAAGGUCUACGUGUAGACUGAUGAGAGUACCAUAUGAAUAAGC
rnacentral:rRNA from 1 species